rnacentral:lncRNA from 1 species
AUAAAGUUGUAUAUCAGGAUAACAAGUCAGGUAUCUUUGACAGUGUUGGUUCUGUUUUCCCAGGUAUACCUCAAAGGGAUCGGCUGUUUAUGCCAUUUUUCUGCACUGGCCAGAAAAUGGAGUCUUAAACCUUGAAUCCCCCAUAACUACCUCAACUACAAAGAUAACAAUGCUGGGAAUUCAAGGAGAUCUGAAGUGGUCCACAGAUCCAGAUAAAGGUCUCCUCAUCUCUCUGCCCCAGUUGCCACCCUCUGCUGUCCCCGCAGAGUUUGCUUGGACUAUAAAGCUGACAGGAGUGAAGUAAUCAUUUGAGUGCAAGAAGAAAGAGGCACUGCUCACUGUUUUCCUGCUUCAGUUUUCCUCUUAUAGUACCAUCACUAUAAUCAACGAACUUCUCUUCUCCACCCAGAGAUGGCUUUUCCAACACAUUUUAAUUAAAGGAACUGAGUACAUUACCCUGAUGUCUAAAUGGACCAAAGAUCUGAGAUCCAUUGUGAUUAUAUCUGUAUCAGGUCAGCAGAAGAAGGAACUGAGCAGUUGAACUCUGAGUUCAUCAAUUGUAAUAUUUGGAAAUUAUCUACAAUGGAAUCUUCCCUCUGUUCUCUGAUAACCUACUUGCUUACUCAAUGCCUUUAAGCCAAGUCACCCUGUUGCCUAUGGGAGGAGGUGGAAGGAUUUGGCAAGCUCAACCACAUGCUAUUUAGUUAGCAUCAGUUGUCACCAACAGUCUUUCUGCAAAGGGCAGGAGAGCUUUGGGGGAAAGGAAAAGGCUUACCAGGCUGCUAUGGUCAACUCUUCAGAAAUUUUCAGAGCAAUCUAAAAGCGCCAAAAUUCGCUAUGUUUACAGUGAUACUAUUAAGAAAAUGAAUGUGAUUCUGCUCUGUCUUUUUAAAUAUGAUCAAAUAA